CCUACGGGGGGCAGCAGUGAGGAAUAUUGGUCAAUGGGCGAGAGUCUGAACCAGCCAAGUAGCGUGAAGGAUGACUGCCCUAUGGGUUGUAAACUUCUUUUAUAUGGGAAUAAAAUGUUCCACGUGUGGGAUUUUGUAUGUAUCAUAUGAAUAAGGAUCGGCUAACUCCGUGCCAGCAGCCGCGGUAAUACGGAGGAUCCGAGCGUUAUCCGGAUUUAUUGGGUUUAAAGGGAGCGUAGGUGGGUUGUUAAGUCAGUUGUGAAAGUUUGGGGCUCAACCGUAAAAUUGCAGUUGAAACUGGCAGUCUUGAGUACAGUAGAGGUGGGCGGAAUUCGUGGUGUAGCGGUGAAAUGCUUAGAUAUCACGAAGAACUCCGAUUGCGAAGGCAGUUCACUGGACUGCAACUGACACUGAGGCUCGAAAGUGUGGGUAUCAAACAGGAUUAGAUACCCCUGUAGUC
rnacentral:rRNA from 1 species